UACGCAGGUGGCAAGCGUUGUCCGGAAUCACUGGGCGUAAAGCGCGCGCAGGCGGCGAUCUACGUCUGGGGUGAAAGCCCGGAGCUCAACUCCGGGACUGCCUUGGAUACGGGAUCGCUUGAGGAUUGGAGAGGCAAGGGGAAUUCCACGUGUAGCGGUGAAAUGCGUAGAGAUGUGGAGGAACACCUGUGGCGAAGGCGCCUUGCUGGCCAAUUUCUGACGCUGAGGCGCGAAAGCGUGGGGAGCAAACAGG
rnacentral:rRNA from 1 species